rnacentral:rRNA from 1 species
GACGAACGCUGGCGGCGUGCUUAACACAUGCCAGUCGAACGGAAAGGCCCUGCUCUUGUGGGGUGCUCGAGUGGCGAACGGGUGAGUAACACGUGAGUAACCUGCCCUUGACUUUGGGAUAUCUUCAGGAAACUGGGGCUAAUACCGCAUAGGAGCUCCUGAUGCACGGUGGGGGUUGGAAAGUCUCGGCGGUUGGGGAUGGACUCGCGGCUUAUCAGCUUGUUGGUGGGGUAGUGGCUUACCAAGGCUUGGACGGGUAGCCAGCCUGGGAGGGAGACCGGCUCCAGUGGGCCUGAGGAACGCCCCAGACGGCAACGGGAGGCAUGAGCGGCGGCUUUUGCCCCAGGGGCGGCACCCGGGUGCAGCAACGCCGCGUGGGAGAUCACGGCCUUCGGGUUGUAAACCCCUUUUCCCUGUCCCGGAGCGUGCGUGACGGUACUGGGAAAAAAAGCACCGGCUAACUCCGU